AGAUGGCGACCGGCGCACGGGUGAGUAACACGUAUCCAACCUGCCGAUAACUCGGGGAUAGCCUUUCGAAAGAAAGAUUAAUACCCGAUGGCAUAAUAGAACCGCAUGGUUUGAUUAUUAAAGAAUUUCGGUUAUCGAUGGGGAUGCGUUCCAUUAGGCAGUUGGUGGGGUAACGGCCCACCAAACCUUCGAUGGAUAGGGGUCUGAGAGGAAGGUCCCCCACAUUGGAACUGAGACACGGUCCAA
rnacentral:rRNA from 1 species